rnacentral:lncRNA from 10 species
AUAGUGAUCAAUUAAAUGUAUAGAACCACAAAAGAGCCAUCUGGAUCCUGAAACUGUGUGGCAAAAUCUCUAUUAUUUGUCACGUAAAAGGAAGAAUAAGUGAUUUUGAAAUAAAACACCAAAGAAAGAUGUACUGAGUUUGAUGCAGGAGUAGAUGUAGCUGGCCACAGUUGUGAAAGAUUCAAUAAGCUUCUUCUUACUUGUCCUUCACCCUGGAGGCUUCUGAAGAGGCCUGAAUAUCUGGCUUAAAGUGAGUGAUGCUACUUGAAAUGAAAAGCAAGGCGAUUGCAAAUCACUCUUCUGCACAGGCUUGGAAUAAGCUAUGGCAUGGCUGAUGAACAGAUUCAGGUAUUUAAGUGAGUGUGAUUUCCAAGCAACAAUUUCUAAACCCCACACUGUUGUUGACCUCCAUCACGUGAUUGGACAUGUUUAUGAAAGUGCAUGUGGUAGAAUGAAAUGCACUGAGAAGAAUACUGAAGUCAUUUUUCAAUAGCACAGCAAUAUUACUGCAAAACGAAGCCACAUUACUCCAACGAGCAGUGGAGUCCAGCCUCACACACUUCCUCUGCUUAACAGUCUGAGUCCACUCUAGAAAAGGACCUUUCCACUUCAGGAAAGAGGCUCUGGGUUUGGUUGGAAGAAAGCUAAUGAGAUGAAGAACCAGAGGCUCAGUUCGGUGAGUGGACGUUGCUAAGGAUCAGCCAUCAUUAAUACCCACAAGAAAGAAGAAAAAAGGAAGUGGAAGGAAGGAAUGAAAGAGACAAAGAGAGGAAGGAAGGAAGGAAGGAAGAAAGGAAGGAAGGAAGGAAGGAAGGAAGAAAGGAAGGAAGGAAGGAAGGAAGGAAGGAAAUGCUGAAUAUGCUUAUGCUCAGAGACCCAUCCUCAAAUACAGACUCCUGCCAUCUCCUUGUCACCAGACUGUCACAGUUAAGAUGAGAAAGUUUAAAAACCUACAUUUUAUUUAUUUUCGAUAAUUUUGCAUAACAUAUUAUUUUUUUGAUAGUUUUUGAUAGUUAUUUCUACAUUGAGGAAAUGGUUGAGCAUCAGAAAUAGGACUGGAUAAAAAGAUUUUUUUCCUGCUACAAUAUGUGUUAUUAGUUUUCUUUUCUGGUGUCUGAAGGUAUAGAGAUAGUUCACAUUGGUAAUUUGAAGAGUAAAUUGUUUCUUUUGAAAACCUUAUUCUAGUGCAUUGUUAACUUGAUUUAAAACUAACCUUCUUACAGAGGACUUUGGAAAAGGUCUAGUGGCCAAUCUGAAAGCAGUUCUCUGCAGGUGGGCCAUGACGUGCUCAUUACCUGUGAACCAAUCCAAAAUCACAAAGUCUAAUCACUCUUGUUCAUUGUGUCUUCACUUCAUGGGCCACUAAUAUCUUGGCUGCAAGGAGACUUUUCUCCAACUUGAUCAAGCAUAUGCUAACAGUGUAUUUACCCAGGAUGGUAACAGCUUAUACUUAUUGCAUGAUUUCUCUGUGCCAAGCACCAAACCUGUUUGGGUGAUUUAUGUGAAUUAUUCAAUCCUCAUUAGAUAGGUGCUCUUAUCAUCCUCUUUUUACAGAUGAAGAAACUGAGGCACAUAAUGCUUAUAAAUAGUAAUAAUCAAUACUUUUUGUUCCCAUUUUUUUUCUUCUCCUGGUCUUCCAGUACAUUUCUGUCUCCUUAGCAACGUCCAUCCAGCCAUAACUACAACCUCAUCUAGGCUUUAGUGUCUCCAUUAUCCUCGAUCCUAAUCACAAAGUUAUCUGUUGGCAGUAGAGAAUGGGUUUAUGUAUUCCAUCAGUUAUUUAUUACUGCAUAACAAACAACCCUGGACAUUUGUGAAUUAUAUUUAAGACAAUUUGAUGUGCA